rnacentral:rRNA from 1 species
AACGAACGCUGGCGGCAGGCUUAACACAUGCAAGUCGAACGCCCCGCAAGGGGAGUGGCAGACGGGUGAGUAACGCGUGGGAACAUACCCUUUUCUACGGAAUAGCUCUGGGAAACUGGAAUUAAUACCGUAUACGCCCUACGGGGGAAAGAUUUAUCGGGGAAGGAUUGGCCCGCGUUGGAUUAGCUAGUUGGUGGGGUAAAGGCCUACCAAGGCGACGAUCCAUAGCUGGUCUGAGAGGAUGAUCAGCCACAUUGGGACUGAGACACGGCCCAAACUCCUACGGGAGGCAGCAGUGGGGAAUAGUGGACAAGGGGCGCAAGCCUGAUCCAGCCAUGCCGCGUGGGUGAUGAAGGCCUUAGGGUUGUAAAGCUCUUUCACCGAUGAAGAUAAUGACGGUAGUCGGAGAAGAAGCCCCGGCUAACUUCGUG